AGAGCGAACGCUGGCGGCAGGCCUAAUACAUGCAAGUCGAACGGACCCUUCGGGGUUAGUGGCGGACGGGUGAGUAACACGUGGGAACGUGCCCUUUGGUUCGGAACAACUCAGGGAAACUUGAGCUAAUACCGGAUGUGCCCUUCGGGGGAAAGAUUUAUCGCCAUUGGAGCGGCCCGCGUCUGAUUAGCUAGUUGGUGGGGUAAAGGCCUACCAAGGCUACGAUCAGUAGCUGGUCUGAGAGGAUGAUCAGCCACACUGGGACUGAGACACGGCCCAGACUCCUACGGGAGGCAGCAGUAGGGAAUCUUGCGCAAUGGGCGAAAGCCUGACGCAGCCAUGCCGCGUGAAUGAUGAAGGUCUUAGGAUUGUAAAAUUCUUUCAGCGGGGACGAUAAUGACGGUACCCGCAGAAGAAGCCCCGGCUAACUUCGUGCCAGCAGCCGC
rnacentral:rRNA from 1 species